CCCUUAGAUGUCCGGGGCCGCACGCGCGCUACACUGAAGGAAUCAGCGUGGCUUUCUCCCUGACCCGAAAGGGUUGGGAAACCCGUUGAAUCUCCUUCGUGAUAGGGAUUGGGGCUUGAAAUUGUUCCCCAUGAACGAGGAAUUCCCAGUAGGCGCGAGUCAUCAGCUCGCGUCGAUUACGUCCCUGCCCUUUGUACACACCGCCCGUCGCUACUACCGAUCGGAUGGUUUAGUGAGACCCUCGGACUGGUCCCGCUGUCGGACAGGCAACUGUUUGCAGCGCGUGCGCCGGGAAGAAGGUCGAACUUGACUAUCUAGAGGAAGUAAAAGUCGUAACA
rnacentral:rRNA from 1 species